rnacentral:rRNA from 1 species
CACCGGCGGCUCGAGUGGUGGCCCCUUUUAUUGGGUCUAAAGCGUCCGUAGCCGGCUUGGCAAGUCCCCUGGGAAAUCUGGCGGCUUAACCGUCAGGCGUCCAGAGGAUACUGCCAGGCUUGGGACCGGGAGAGGUGAGAGGUACCUCAGGGGUAGGGGUGAAAUCUUGUGAUCCCUGAGGGACCACCAGUGGCGAAGGCGUCUCACUAGAACGGGUCCGACGGUCAGGGACGAAAGCCGGGGGCACGAACCGG